UUCCGACGAGGUUUUGCCGAGACAAUUCAGUUUCCGCGUUGGCGGUGCGGGUUUGAUGCCUUGGCGCUCGGCCCCGGGCAGGCUCGCCCCUCACAACGCUCUCCUCCUGAAAACUGCAGGAGCGUCUGCGUGAAUCGGGGUUUCAGGGCAAUGGCUCGGUCCGACUUAAAAUUCGGAUUUCACAGGUCCCCUUCCUUUUGGACAGGACAGUUUUGCUUUGUUUGCUUUAUCUCUUAUGACUCCCUAGAAAUGAAAAUGAGUGGAGCGUGAAGUGGCUUUCCACGUAGCUUACUCUGGAGCUCUAAUUCAAGCAGCUGGAGCUAAUACCUGAAUUUUCCAAGGCACAGAAUACAAUAUUUGAAUCUGGUUUUUCCUGGGGUUAUCUCCCCCAGCAAGAAUAUUCACCAGAUUACUUUCAUGGGAAGAAGGAAAAGGCCUCUUCUGUCCGAACUGGCCAUUGAGGACCACUUCUCUUGUUAAUGUUUUCCUGCAAGGGCUCCUGGGCCGCCGCUGUUAUUUGCACAGACGGAAUGCAUCAGUCUGAAAAGAACAAAAGGCUGAUGGGUUUUUUUUUUGUUGUUGUUGGAGUUGGAUCAAAGUGCGGAGGAUUUUUUGUUUAUUUGUAUGUGUUUUUGGUUUUUUGUUGCUUUUGCAAGCCGGAGUGAGAAUUCCAGAUGGUUCCACUUUAAUAAGUGGAUUUAAUAAAUAGAGAAGCAGGCACCUUAUCACCCUUUGCCCAAGGGACAGGGCUUGGGAAUUCCUGAGCUGCUCGUUUGUCAGCCUCGUUAUCCUUUGAUUAGGGAGGCUUUGCGUGGGCAGCAGGCUGGCUGGUCCAAGCGUGGAGGUAGAGGUCGCAAGAAGCUGCGGGUAUCCAGGGCUUUAGCCAAAAGCUGCGCUGGCCUCUUGCCUGGAGUUACCUCACCUUCUUGCACACCCGUUCUGACACAUACGGCCCUCCCUUCUGCCUGAGGACCGAGAAUACCAAUUUUCAGAGCGCUCACAGCCUGACGUCCUGUUUCAUGGUAGAUGGGGGCCAAAUGGUGCCUGCCGUUUCAGAGCUGAACUUAGUCAGGAGAGGCGUGCUGGUACUUUAGCAGCCAUGUGUCAUGUCUCUUGCUGAUGAACGGGAAAUCGAGCCACUUCUGUUUUGUGCACAGAAAGCUGGAACCAGUGUUGUCUCUGAGGGCAGUAUAUUUGAGGGGGACGAGGAUUCCUUUAGCAGACUCGUGAAAGCCCGUCUUCCCAAAAGCAUGACGCAUCACUCCCUCCUGGGUGAGUUCACAAGGAGGUCCUGCCCGACAGCCUGCCUCCUGCGAGCGCCCUCAAGUCCUCAGCAGCCAGGUGAGCCUGCUGCGAGUGAGGUGCUCCUUAGUGAUCCCUGGGACUCCAGCAGUCUCGUCAGUUUAAAAUCAGCUGAUUUUAGUGAAUCUUCUGCAUAAUUAGUCAAAUCUUUCACUUGGAUGUAGUUGAAUACAGAGUGGUUCAGAUAAUCUUACCACUGCUUUGUGCAGAAUAUCCCUUUUUUAACAGCUGCAAAACAUAGGUAAUCACUAGUGUAAGUGGCACUUUGAUGAAAGAGGUUGUGUUAGCAAGGCAGGGGGUACGCUUGUUUGCCUUUCAUGAUGGAAACAACUGCGCUGAGGCCUUGGAUCUUCUGAGCAUAAACGGAUGGAAGGGAGUAGAGAGAGAAUUUGCCACAUACUCACUUGGUAGCUCAGCUUUUACUGGUGUGGUUCGUGGAGUAACGCUAGCAAUGUAUUUAGAAAGUGAAGUCUAAAUUGGGUUACCACUAUUUAAUAUUAUGAAACUACAAGGUAGCUUGUAUAAAUCACAAAUUUUAAGUCACCAGUACUUAUAUCUGUAAUCAUAAUCCUCUAAUUCUAAUUGUACUGUGAGAUGUCUGAUUUGGUAGCGUUGGAAGUUAUCUUACAGAAUCAUUAUAACGCUGUUUGUGUUGACGCUUUUGCAACAGCAGCUUUGAGACUGUUCGAGUUAAGAAAACGGGGAUGUGCACCGUAUGUUAAAGACGGCAAGAGAGAGGGGUUCCCGUUGUACUUUUUUUUGUUACGAAUUUUAAUGAGAAUGUAUGACAGUCAUUCAGGUUGCUAAAUGAAGGAUUAUAUAAAAAUAAAAAUGUUGUUAAAAUUCAUAGAUAUAGUGGGUCAUCUUAAUAUCAGUACCUAUAUUUAUGUGUUAAAUGUUCCUAUUUGAACACGAGCUAUAAAAUUAAGAUGAGCUAUAAAAUUAAGAUGAGCUAGUGGUUGCUGAACUGUGAUUUCUUGUCUUUUCAGUCUCUUUUUACGUUCUGCCUGCUAGUCCCCCUUUUUGGAAGGUACGCUGCUGCCGCGUUUUUUAAUGCAGCUUGUAACAAUUGCUAGGGGUUUUUUGCUUCAGUUCAGAAUGUCACCUCAAAUUUUUAUUGGAUCAAACCUAAGAACAAAUGCUUUUUUGAAAUCAUUUUAAAAUGUAGACUGUGUACUAUUUAUAGCUUUGUAAAACGCCUCACUGCCUUUAUAUUAGUAACAUAAAAGUUGAAGUUGGCCAAAACCUUGAAGAGGUGUGUAUGUUUUGUAGGUAGAAUAAGUUGCAGUGUUCUGUCAGGCUUUAUAACUACCGCUGUUGCUGCCGUGCCCAACGUGGCUGGAGGGCUAAAGCUCUUCGUCAUGAGAAAGUAACACGCUGAAAACGUUACGAGGAUGUAAUUUCACAAAGAGUACCAAGAACUAUUGCAGCUGGUGAGCGAGAUGGUCUUUCUCUCAUUGUCCCAUAUACCAAUUAAUGUGACUGGACAGCUCUUCCUCUUACCUUGCAAGUGGAAAAGAAGAUGCAUGCUCUACAUUCUCAAAGAGGGGUAUAGGCUUUACCCACAAAGCUUCCUCUGACCUUAAGAUUUGGAAAAAUUUCUCUUUUCUAACUGUGGAAGUUAAAUUUUAAGUUCAUAUAAAGCAUUCAAAUGAAUAACUGGGACCUCUGGGGUUUGGUUAACAUCUUGGCAAGCGAAAGAAAGGAAAUAGGCUCGGGGAAUGCAGAAUGAAGGAAUCUGCAAUGACUUAGGACUGAUUAGCUUAAAUAGAAUAUGACAGCAGGACCGUAUUUAUACAGACACAUAUUCUCCACUGCCUUGCUGUUCUACUUUUAAUUGCUGCCAAAGGUAUGGUUUACACCACUGCUUUAAGAAAUCCUUUCCAGUUUUAGGAGGUGUUAGUUAAGAAAACUUACUUGAUAGUCAUUCUUUUCCUUCCUUAGAUACGUUUCUUUGGACCAUUUUCAUUGAGGUGAUGGGCAGGGGAGUUUUGUAUUUGUGUGGAAGAAGAGGAGGUAUAUGUCCGCAGAUAGGACAGUAAAGCAGAUGCUGAAGCAAGGUCAUAACAUUCAACAGAAGAAGGGUACAGAGUAGUAAUUUUGAGUGAGGGGGCUGAUUCGCUGUUCUUCACAUCUGAGCAUUACACAGUUCUUUAGCGUCAUUCCAGCGUUUGCAUUAGCGCUCCCUUGCUUUCACUGGCAGCAGGAUCAAGGCUUUAAUGCCUGCCCUGCAUCUGGAGGAUUUAGUUCAAAAUCUGGUGUUUCCUCAGCACUUUCACAGAGGGGAGGAUUUCCUGCGCCUUGAUCCUGCUGUCCUGUUCAGGGUAGGCCUGUGCUGCAGUACAUCCGUAACGCUGACCGAAACCUACCAUUUUAAAAAAAGUUACUUUUUUUUUUUUUUUUGACUCUCCUCCUCCUCUCUCACUCUGGUUUUGCUGUGACACUGCAAUUACAUGUAUCCCUUCCCCAGUUAUUUAUUUCUUUGUAGUUUCUGUUAUGUUACGUCAGACUGCCUCCAUUUUCUGUUUUGUCCUGCUUGUAACCACUUCCAAUAAAGUUUUAUCUGAAAGUAUGUAACUUGCUGUAUCCAGAUACACUGGCUUGAGUUUAACAGUGAAGUCGUCUUUGAGAGCUGCUGCAGUUAAUUAUUUUUAUUUGGUAUUUCAUAAAAUAACGAUUGGUGCUAUUUUGCUUUUAAUUAUUCAGCCUCAUGGUACAAAAUGUUUUUACAAACUGAAGAAUAUCUUGCGCUAAGUUCUGCUUAGAUUUGUUGUUAUUUGAUUUGGUUUGUUUAUCAGCAUAGAAAAAGAGUUAUUGUUUGAAGCACCCAAGUGCCCGUUUGGGAUACAGCGACAACAGCACUGAUUUCUGCUUCCAGAGACUUCAGCAGGGGUAGGAUAUGGCUUUCUGUGUGUGCGCAGUCUCAUCUAUUGUCUAUUUUACGUGCUGCGAUUUUGUAUUAAAAGCCAUUUUUAAAAGCCUGGACUUGUAGUUAAAGCUAAUAAGUUGUAUAUAGGCCACAGGCCCCAAUCCUGCAGAAAGAUCACAGCUGUCCCUGUUAAGUCCCUGUCUUAAGAGGGGUACAGCGUGUCGUCAUCUGCGCGGCUGCACCUCGUCAGCCCAGAAACUUCAGGCAAAUUAAGAAGCGCCCUGUCCAACAGUUCGGAGGACUGUGGAAAAAUUUGAGUUGACUUCACUGGAAACUGAUUUGGGCAUAUAAUUUCUGAGUCAUUUUCCUGGCUGACGUGAAUAAAGGAAAUAGUGUUGGAGCUGCAGCAGGUUUUUUCAGCUCUGAACCUACUUCUGUGUGUUUUCUUAUCGGUGAAAUGGGGGAGUAUUUAGCAUGCUUGUCCACGGGAAUCCCACUGGAGUUAGUGGGUUCAUACAAUGUCAGACUAGGAGAGACCGCUAGGUAGUUUAAUACAAUCCGUAAAUUCCUGGUGAUUACAUUUUACCCUGCUAUUCCUGUACCGAACAGUUAUAUUUUAGUCAAACAAAAGUCAAAUCUUUCAGAAAAGAAUCCAGGCUUGAUUCAGUGAAUCCACUUUUCUGUUAAUGUUACAGUGCUAACAUUUUGUGCCUUAUUUCUUGUUUGAUUCUUUUCCAGUAUAUUAAGGAGCUUUUUAAUAUCCAGUAUGUUCUCCCAUUGAAGCUAUGUGUACAUAAUAAUCAAGUUGCCACUUAAUCUUAUUUUA